CUUCAAACUACCGCCAGGGCUCAUUAAAACUGUAGCUCAGUGCUUUCUUAGUUGGGUGUUGUCCUUUACUUUGGUGUCAUCUACACAUUUGGAAGCUUUCACAACCCCACUCACCCUCAGCUGUCUGGACUCCAUAUCACAUAGAUAAUCUCAUUCUCUUGUGUAAAUAUUCUGUAAAAGGGACAGUGUGGACUCCAGUGAUGCAGCCUAAGUCUUGUAAAGAAAAAUAAACUGUGACUCCAUCUACUCACUUUAAAAAACAAAAACAAAUCGACAGCAGAAAAACUCACAACUGGCUGUUCUAACGCUUCAGUGAGAAGACAGGAGGACUUGCUUCUGCACGAUGUUCGGACAUACGAAGGCACGCAGAGUCCGCCUGAUCCCUGGGUUAAAAGGGAGACACAACUUGAUAUCUUUUUUUUUUUCCUUUGUUUUUUGAUUGUUCCAGCCAGGCCGGGUUGAUAAAGUUAACAUUAUUAGUCUUGUCUGUCUUUUUAGGCUCCGACACUGUACACAGAACACGAGACAAUAUUAAGGGUGCCUUUCUACCUGUACCUUACCUUUUUUUUCUGAUGGGAUAUUAACCAAUGCAAGGCUGCAGAAUCAGUAGCGUCAGGCAACACUCAAUCGCUUGCAAUCAUUUCACCCAUCAGCCUUUUGGUGUCAAAUGUGGUUAUAAAGCUCCUAUCUGCAGUUUGAUGUGUCCGUGCACUGUAUGCAGGCUGUCAGGGAUUUGUCAGCUAAUAGUAAGCCACAAACACUGGGCUUCUGCUUACAUCCAAAGUUGUUGGCCACUUAUUUUAUACUGCAGUUACAUGAGCAGCACAUUUGACAAACUUUAUCUUUAGAGACCUCACAAAAUGUAAUGGAUGCAGUUUUGGGCAGCGGGAGGAUGUUUAGAUUUCAUUGUUAAAUGUUCACUCAGUAUUAGACGUGUCUGUGCAGCAUACUGAUUGUUGCAUUUGUACACAGUGUCAUAAAGUAAUGUACAUACACACGUAACAUAAAAAAUAUAAAAAUGCAAUAGGUAUAUAAUACAAAUAUUAUUCUAAUUGAUGUAUUUUGCGUAUAUGCAUGUCUUCUAGGAUGUAAGGAAAAGCAAUUGUUUUAUUUGAAAGCAGAUUUUAGUUCUUUCAAUUUGAAAGAUUUUUAAUCCCAAACAAGAUUCUGAGGAUAAUCCACUGUUUUUUUCAUGAGUCUGUGUG